rnacentral:tRNA from 1 species
GGAGUUGUAGCUCAGCGGUAGAGUGUGCACCUAGCAUGCGUAAGGCACUGGGUUCAAUCCUCAGCACCA